GACGAACGCUGGCGGCGUGCUUAACACAUGCAAGUCGAACGGAAAGGCCCUGCUUUUGUGGGGUGCUCGAGAGGCGAACGGGUGAGUAACACGUGAGUAACCUGCCCUUGACUUUGGGAUAACUUCAGGAAACUGGGGCUAAUACCGGAUAGGAGCUCCUGCUGCAUGGUGGGGGUUGGAAAGUUUCGGCGGUUGGGGAUGGACUCGCGGCUUAUCAGCUUGUUGGUGGGGUAGUGGCUUACCAAGGCUUUGACGGGUAGCCGGCCUGAGAGGGUGACCGGCCACAUUGGGACUGAGAUACGGCCCAGACUCCUACGGGAGGCGGCAGUGGGGAAUAUUGCACAAUGGGCGGAAGCCUGAUGCAGCAACGCCGCGUGCGGGAUGACGGCCUUCGGGUUGUAAACCGCUUUCGCCUGUGACGAAGCGUGAGUGACGGUAAUGGGUAAAGAAGCACCGGCUAACUACGUG
rnacentral:rRNA from 1 species